GAAAGGUGUGCGGACGUGGACGGGGCCUGGACAGGGCGGGCCAGGUGGGCGGGGCCUGGGCUUAGAGCGGGUGGGACGAGAAAGCGCUGGGGCAGAUUCCAGUUCCUGUCCUGGAGAGGGCUGCUGUGAACUGGGAAGCCCUAAGACUCCGAGGCCGGGGCUGGCUGGUGGAAGGCUUAGGAUUAGGGGCGGGGCUCGAGCCUAACUGAUAUGCGGCCUCCAAACAGCGUCUGGAGGAGAUCAUGAAGAGGACUCGGAAGUCAGAAGUUUCUGAAACCAAGGUCAGAGUUCCCCCGAAGGGCGGUGCUGGGCGUCGGGGGCAGGGUGUGAAAAGGAGGCCAUGGAAAGGCAUCCAUGGCCACGGAGAGCUAGGCUGUCGGGGAGGCCGCUGCGGCCCGGGCAAGGGGAGGGCCGAACUCAGUCCGAAGUGACUGGGGCCGGCUGUCCCUUGAGCCUGACUGCUCUUCCUCUUCAAAGCAGAAGCAGGACAGCAAGGAGGCCAACGCCAACGGUUCCAGCCCAGAGCCUGUGAAAGCUGUGGAGGCUCGGUCCCCAGGGCUGCAGAAGGAGGCUGUGCAGAAAGAGGAGCCCACCCCACAGGAGCCUCAGUGGAGUCUCCCAAGCAAGGAGUUGCCAGGGUCCCUGGUGAAUGGCCUGCAGCCUCUCCCAGCACACCAGGAGAAUGGCUUCUCCACCAAGGGACCCUCUGGGGACAAGAGUCUGAGCCGAACACCAGAGGCACUCCUGCCCUUUGCAGAGGCAGAAGCCUUCCUCAAGAAAGCUGUGGUGCAGUCCCCACAGGUCACAGAAGUCCUUUAAGAGGGUUUGCCUUGGAUCCGGGCACAGCUGUGAGGGCUCCUCUGCAUCACCUACCAG
rnacentral:sRNA from 1 species